GAGGGUCGCAUUUCCAAGCUCGGGGGAUCCUCAUUGCGGACCGGUUUUCUUUGUCUCCCCCUCUGUCUCUAAGGAUGCUCAGGACCCGGUCGUUAGCGGCAGGCAGAAAAGCGGGCUCGGGGUCAAGGUUGACACGGAGGCUAAAAGCCGGCCAGAGAAAGAAAAGCAGAACACACAGAGAGAGCAUCCCAGAGGCUCUUGAAUGAUCCAUUCCGUAAUUCUUGUACUUCAUCGCACAGUAUCUCAAGUUGAAAAUUAUUUUCUUUGCCGGCGUCACGGAAACCCAAGUGUCUACCGUGAUGCAGCCAGUACGGAAAACAGAAUGGUCGUUUCUCAAAAAAAUUAAAAAUAGGAUUACCAGGGGACCCAGCAGUCCCACUUCUGGGAAUAUACUCAAAAGAAGCGAAAGAGGCUCAUGAAGAGGUGUCUGUACGUGGAUGAACCUUGAGGACGUGCUAAGUGAAAUAAGCCAGGCACGAGAAGACGAACACUGCGUGAUUCUACCUAAAUGAAGCUUGAUUGCUCCAAGCUUUAAGAGAAACUGAGGAUUACAAGUUUGCAGGAUAUCGGCUUGGAUGGAGCACUGUUCAAGAACACAAACUCAUGAAGGUACGCUGCUCCUUCAAAAAAAAGUCUUGGGCACAAGAUUAAAACCCAACCAUCUAGAGCUGAGCUGACCCUGAAAAUUGAGGCUAUACAUCUGUACAUCAUUACUAGCUCCAAACCUACCCCUCAUCAAUCAUAGAAACUCCCCAUCUACUCCCUAGUCACUUACCUGAUAAUAUGCAGUUUUUGUCUUAGACUGUCUCAUUUUGGUUAGCUAGACAGAUAAAUUUUGUCAGCUUUCAGCAGGUAAUUUAUUUACUUUCUGAGAACAAUGUUUGUGGAUUUAUUGAUGAGGGUUCAUAUUAAAUAAGCAGAGAAAAUAUUUUUCUUUUAAAACUCCAAAUCUGAAUUCCCAGAGUUAUUUUUAAGAAGAACUAUGUGGAAAAACCACAGACACUGACAACUCUGAGUCAGAAAGUGAUUCAGAAGAAUUGGGCUCUAAAAGUGAAGAAAUUUUAGGAAAAAUCAGCCAAUAAAUUUUGCUUAACGUUUUCCA